rnacentral:lncRNA from 1 species
AUCGAUUUUAGUUGAAUUGAUAGGACGUGUUUUUUUUUUAAUAGAAAUCAUUUUUUCCCUAAGCCUGAAAAUGCAGCAACUGGACGUCAUAGGUCAAACGUUGACGUCAUUUUAAUUAUGACGUCACGCCAGGUAUGCGAUACAGAUUUUGCUAUGCGAUACGGGGUAUGCGAUACGGGUUUAGCUAUGCGAUACGGGGUAUGCGAUACAGGGUAGGUGAUACAGACUGGAAAAAAGAACCUUUAUUAGAUAUACAAAAUUGCUGUAUUUUGUACUAAAUAUAUGAUAAAGUUAUAUAUUUAUAU